GGGGUUGUGGCUCAUAGGUAGAGCGCUCGCCUAGCAUGCGUGAGGCACUGGGUUUGAUCCUCAGCACCA
rnacentral:tRNA from 1 species